UACGUAUGGAGCAAGCGUUAUCCGGAUUUACUGGGUGUAAAGGGAGCGCAGGCGGCUUUGCAAGUCUGAUGUGAAAGGCCGGGGCUCAACCCCGGGACUGCAUUGGAAACUGUAAAGCUAGAGUGCUGGAGAGGUAAGCGGAAUUCCUAGUGUAGCGGUGAAAUGCGUAGAUAUUAGGAGGAACACCAGUGGCGAAGGCGGCUUACUGGACAGUAACUGACGUUGAGGCUCGAAAGCGUGGGGAGCAAACAGG
rnacentral:rRNA from 1 species